CUCAUCUUCAGAAAAUGCCAUCUGCUAUACUCUGUCAGAGCUUCUUAUGAGUGUCCUCUUUAUUCAACAACCAUCAAUAAUAACAGUAAUGGAAUGAACUACCUGAGGCCUAGAGGGGAGAGCAGUCAAAGGCUAGGACACAGACCCUAAUGUUGCAUUCAACUUCCUGGCUGGAAGACCAGGAUGAAGUUGCUUCUGAUCUCUAUGCUGGCAAUGAGCAAGGCAGCACCCAUGUCAGGAGUGUGAGGUAAAUACCUACAGGAUUGCUGAGUUAUAUGGGUCAUGAACCUAGGGAUGUUCUUACCAGCCAAGAACCCUUGAUGAUCUAUAAGAGAACAGACAUCCAUUCAACCACAAAAGAAAGAAGAGGAAGGGAUGCAAAGCAACAAAGGGUACAGAAAUAUGACACAAAGCAAGGAAGAGAAACAAAGUGAAAAAAGUGAGACAAAGUAUAAAAACAGGGAGAAGAGAGGUACAGAGGAUGCCUGAGACACAGACAGAGAUGAUUCUAAGAAAAACAACUGCUGAGGCAAAUGGAAACUGUAUCUGUUUGGGAUGUCACCCCAGCCCUAGGCAAGUAAUGUCAACUGUUAUGGUAGCUGAACAAUCUUGAUUAGUUCCUGGUCUUCCAUUCAUCAGUCUUGGCACCUAAUGUUUACUGAGCACCUACUGUAUGCCUGGCACUGUGCUUGUGCUAAGUUUAGGGAGGUAAGUAUGACCCAGUGCUAACAGCUGCUUUCAAGAAUCCCCUAAUCUGUUGUGAAGCAGUCACAUGAAGAGUUAGAAUAAAAUUUGGCCUGUGACAUGAUGGAAGUGCCUGCAAGGAGUUACGGGAGGAGAAGGGGAACCAAGCCCUGUGCAGAAGAGUGAGGAAGGACUUUCUGGAAGACAUGAGACUAAGAGUCUUGCAGGAUAACUAGGAGUUAGUGAAGGCAGGGUGGCAGAGGGGUAACAGGGGCCAGGUGGUGGAGGUGAGAACCUGCAGGUAGUUUGGGGUUGCUGGAACCUUGAUGAAAGGCAUUGGGCAUCAGGAGAUGAGCCUGGAGAGGGACUAGGGCCUAUCUCAGGGGCUUGAUACCUUUCACUGGGUUGGUUAGGGAAGAUUUGCAUGGCUAAGCAGAGAAGCUAAAUUGCUUUGCCCGCUGUGUGGACAGUGGAUUGGGGGCAGAAUCUCUUUUUGUGAGAUCUUUUGGGAUUAGGCUGAAUGCCCAGCCUAUGGCCCAGAGGUGCACAAGAUGGCCUCUGGAAUAAUCACCCCAGUCAAGGCUUAGUGAAUGCUGCCACGAGCGGGGCAGUGUUCUAUGUGUCUUAUGGACCCUAUGUGGAGUAACUACUUCACUCUCCUGACAACCCUGUGGUGAGGGUAUAGUCUUAUCAUCCCCAUUUUGACCACCAGUAAACUAGGCACAGAGAGGUUAAGUUGUGCAUCCCUGCCCUAAAGCUAG